rnacentral:rRNA from 1 species
AUUGAACGCUGGCGGCAGGCCUAACACAUGCAAGUCGAGCGGCAGCGGGAAGUAGCUUGCUACUUUGCCGGCGAGCGGCGGACGGGUGAGUAAUGUCUGGGAAACUGCCUGAUGGAGGGGGAUAACUACUGGAAACGGUAGCUAAUACCGCAUAACGUCGCAAGACCAAAGAGGGGGACCUUCGGGCCUCUUGCCAUCAGAUGUGCCCAGAUGGGAUUAGCUAGUAGGUGGGGUAACGGCUCACCUAGGCGACGAUCCCUAGCUGGUCUGAGAGGAUGACCAGCCACACUGGAACUGAGACACGGUCCAGACUCCUACGGGAGGCAGCAGUGGGGAAUAUUGCACAAUGGGCGCAAGCCUGACGACGCAACGCCGCGUGGAGGACGAAGAUCUUCGGGUCGUAAACUCCUGUCGAGCGGGACGAAUGCUCCGCGGGUGAAUAACCUGCGGAGGUGACGGUACCGCUAAAGGAAGCCCCGGCUAACUCCGUGCCAGCAGCCGCCGUAACAC